AGGCACAUAUCGAAAGCAAAUGCGGAACAAUGGGAUAUACAUGUGCCUAUAUGAGUCAAUACGAUAUAGCAUAAACGUUACACAAUAGUUUUCAAGAAUGCAAAUAAUUUUAAGGACAAGAGCAUACAAGAAUUCAAAGCAAUAAUAUAAAGCUCAAUUGAAUAAGAAAGCUAAAGGAUAUCAAUUUCCAAAGGAAUGAAACUAGAAUAUGCGAAAUCAACCAAAGCUCGAUUUCUAGCAGAAUUCAAGAGGCACAUUGAACAAAUGAUUCAAACUAUCAAUCGUGCUCCAAUUUACUCAGA
rnacentral:lncRNA from 1 species